UCUACCUCUUAAUCUUGAGUCCUGAAGUUAAAGGUGUGUACCACCACUGCCUGACCUCUAUAGCUUGUGGCUGACUUUGCUUUGUGAAUCCUCAGGCAAGCUUUAAUAAAUCAUAAAUAAUGUAUUACCACAGGUCCAACUUUUGGUUCAGUGUACUUAGUGAGGACAGAUGUGACUUCAUUCUUUGAGUGAUGAACACUCUCAAAGAAAGAAUAGGCUCUGAUAAGUCCUGCAUAUACUUUGUAAUCAAACAGAUCUGAGCUUGAUUUCUGCCAUUUUCAACCUGUUGACUUUGGGCAUUCUGAGCCUCUGUUUUUUCUUCUGUGAAAUGGGGCUAAAAGUACCCUGGAAACACUUGCCAGGAACACUAUAUAAUAAGAGAGAGCAUCCAUAAAGUCCAGUGCAAUGGCCAGCCCACAGUGAGUGUAUACAAUAGUGUGAUUAUCGUUUAUCAUCCCUUAGAGAAAUAGUCACUCUUCGAGACUCACAGGCUUCAUAACAUCCAUAACAUUGAAAGGCCCCAGCAGAAACCACACUCAACUCGACUUCUACAUUUGUUUUUUUAAAACUUCACCAUCCUAUUAUUUUUAUAAGAUACUUUGAAUUCCCCGUGGAAGCAAGAACCAUAGUAACAAGCUUUCAGCUUUAUUUUGCUUCUGAGAUGAUCAUUAUUGGAGUUAUUUUGAUACUUUUUUUUUUCCUGAAGACAGCCUGGAGCUGUAACUACACGUCUUUUCAAAAAUUCCCUGAUUUAUUUUUCUGUUCUGCUGAACUCUGUGUCUUUGUUUUCUUGUGUUUUUAAUGAAUGGAUGUUGUUGUCUUUAGAUGUUCUCAACCAUCCUGGGCAUAUUAAAAUCCACCCAAUGGCUCUCAUCAAGUGAUUAAAAACAAGGCAUGGAGAUCCGAGGACAAAGAUUGCAGAUGUCGCUUCCUGAGACAUAUGCACACCUGCUAAGGGAUGGGUAUGAGGCAAAACUACUGUUGGCCUCUGGUGAUGAAGGUUUGUCCUUACCAGAGAAAAGGAGGAGGGAAUCGCAUUUACUUCAAAGAACUCCUGCCUGAUUGAGUUGGGGGGAGAGUAGCCUCUUUGCUUUGAUCCUUUCACUGAGAAAAACAACAUGAAAAGAAGAGCAAAAACAAGGCUUAAAAUGCAGGCUUUAUUGAGAGUAUCAUUAGGCGUGUUUAUUGGCAGCAGCAAACACAUCCUGGCUCAGAGUGUGCAGUAAGGCUUGCUCAAUGAAAGCAGUACAAGGUGGAGGCUUCAGUUCACUUCUGUCCAGGAGACCAGGCAGAUGACUCUGGGCCAUGGCCUAUUUCCAAGGUAGAGAGCAGAGCCUGUACUGUUCAAACCUCCAUGCCCCUUGGUGAGUUCAGGUUUUAGAUCUACUCCUGGAUUUUUUAAAUGGCUUUGUUUACCCUUGGUAAACAUUGCCUGCCUCCUUCAUCCCAUGAAGGGAAAGGGACAGUUCCCAAGAAUCUGCUGAGGAGCCCAUUGCACAUCAGCUUUUUCAGAACAGCAUGUGGGGAGUAGAGCGCAAGCAAAUCAGGCUCAGGUGAAUUGUCUUUUCCUUUAGAAAUACUGACUUGGAUGCAUUGAAGUGGAGGAGGAAGUGUUCUGUAAAAGUGUUCUUCAAAUCCAGAAUGUUGGGACGAGUGAUGAUGCCCAGAGUACAUGCAGAAUUAAACUUAUUGUACUUCUGGGUCAGUAUAUGUAUCAUGGCCCCAAUCCUUCACAUAAGCCCCAAUGCAAAAGGUUGCAUUUCCCCCUAUGAUGAGAAAACUCCCAACACAUUGAGCAGAUAAAACAUAAAUCCAGUAAUAGAGUGACUGUCUGCUAUCAAGAGGUAAAUGCUGCUGUGAUGACCACUCUUGAUUGUUAUAAGACAGGACACAGUAAAGAAACCACCAAAAUGGCUGUUCCAUGGUUAAGGGGAAAGUUUUUAUUGUAGGUAAGAUAGAGAUGACACCCAGAGGUGUCUGAAAGAGUUCAAAGCUGAAAGAAAAGAAAGAAGACUGGGCAUGGACAUAUCUAGGCCUAUCUCUGGAAAGAAUGGCAGGAAGAAGUGGGGAGAAUAGAAUAGUGGGAGAGCAAGAAAAAACAAACCUCAUUGUUACAUAGAGAAUGAAGGAUAAUCUUGGAGAAGGGCAGCCUGUGAACUGCAAUAGCCUGGGAGCUGGAAUAGUGCAGAGGAGUUGGGGAGGUGAGAAGGCCCAGGAGGCUGGUGUGGACUUUGAAAUGCACACACGUGAAAGGGACUAGAGGGGUCUGGGGGUUGGCACUGGCUUUGGUAUGCACCAUAGAUACAGCUGAUAGGAAGCCAGAGGAAGGAGAGACAGCAAAGCAUCUCUUUCUGGCACACAGAAUCCCACUUCACAGGCUUCUGAGAAAUAGGCUUUCUGACUGUAGGCUUUCAGCAAUCCUUCUAUAGUCCAGCUUCAGCUGGCCCAAGACCAUCAUUUCUGGACAUACACACUGCCUUUUGUAGUUUGGGAAGUUGGAGUUUCUUUUGGACCUGACAGUUGUCAGAUUGAGUUGGCUCUGGGAUCAACUAAGUAAGAGUCAUGCCUCCAUGUAGAUCUACAAGAGUGUUUCCUGAAGGAUAAGCUAAAGGGAGAGGACACCCCAAGCAUAGUCAGUAUCUUCUGAAGGCAGGCCAAAUAUAAAAAAGGUCUGAGGGAAAAGCAGUGCUGCUUUUUGCCUGCUCACCUUUCACCUUGCCAGUAAGUACACCUACUUUACUGCUGCUUCUGCUACUACUGCUGCUGCCAUGUAACAAUGAGCAUAUAAAAGAGUAGGAUCAGGGCAGGAGACAUUCUGUUUAAACAGCCAUGUUGCAAAGUCCAGGAAGCCCGAGCCCAUAGUUUACUCUAGCACUGGCUGCCCACUGCCCAGCUACAGACUUUUCUCUAAAUGAUUAAUGAAUGAAUAAAUGGGCCAGUUGCACACUGGAAGAGGGGCUAGGCUCUAUGGAUAAAAUCUUAUUUUCAAGCUAAAUAUUCUGGCUUUCUGUUAAACAUUUAGUCCCCAGCUAGUGGCACUAAAUUGAAGAUAGUGGAAACGCUGGCCUAGAUAAAGAAGUAGGUCCCUAGCGCACACCUUAGGAGAUAUUCCUAGUCUCCAUCCCUUCUAUCUCCUGGCUUUCAGUUGGCCAUGAGGUAAACAGCUUCCUCGUCCACAUAGCCUCACCACUGUGAUAUUCAGCUUUGCUUCAGGCCAAGAACAAAGGAAUCAGCUGAAUGUGGUCUGAACUCUCUGAGACAGUGAACUAAAAUACAGGAUUCUUCUCUUAUUUUGGUCACAGCAAAGUAAAAAAUAACCAACACAGCCAGAGAACACAAAGACUAAGAACUUUGUUUUAAACCAGAGCAAUAGCUGCCUUUCAUAUCAUCUAUUUUUUUAAUCAUUUAUUUUUAUUUUAUGUGCAUUGGUGUUUUGCUUGCUUGUAUGUCUGUGUGACGGUGUCCAGUCUCCUAAAACUGGAGCUGCAGACAGUUGUGAAUUGUCAUGUGUGUGCGCUGGGAAUGAACCUGAGUCCUCUGGAAAAGCAGCCAGAGCUCUUAACCACUGUGUGUCCCUCCAGCCCCCAUUCCAUCUAUUCUUACGACAAGUGCAAUUGCUUUGACUCGCCUCCUGGCACACGAUGCAAACUGUAAAAAUUUAGGAACUUGUGAAAGAAUCCAGUUCAUCCUCAUCUUCAUCCUCAUCCUCAUCAUUACCUUCAUUGUCAUUGUUCCCAUCAGCCAUCACCAUCACUUUUCGUCAGCACCAUACACCAACAGUUGAGUGUGUUCAUGGGAAUGGCUCUUAUUGGCAGUGUAUACUUGUGCUUUCUUGCUGAUUAAAUUAGAGUUUGCAGUGAGGUCCGCAUCGGGCCUUUUGGGCACUGCCAUUGCCUCACUGGUUCUCCCAGAACAUCUUUUAGGCAUAAACAGAAUUAAGUGCUAUGAGGAAGCAUAAACUAGUGUUUUUACAUUAACAGAGAAAUUAAUCAAAGCACUUAGCAAUAGCCAACAAAACAAACAAAAGAGAAAGGAACUGAAAGCAGUGGAAAUGUCUUUAGUAUUAUAAAACACUCAGCUUUGACCCUCUUUUGGUUGAUGAUUUCAGUGCAGAGUGCUCCAACUCAAAAUAGUACAUCCAUCUCUUACUCCUCUUCACAAGAUAACAAAGAAUGAAGACGUGUCCUUUCUUUCUCUGGCUUGCUCGGUUAGAAGCACGAAGUGGAAAUGCAUGACGACUGUGAGCUGGCUUUUUGCUUCGGAUAACCUAUGGGUCCUCAGAUCCCAGGUCCAGUGGAUAAGAUCUGCACAGGUCAGCUGGAAAGCCUCCUCUCAAAAUCCAGAACAUUGUCAGCUUGAGAUGAGGCAACAAGAACCCUCACCCUGGAGCUGUAUCCAGUGUGAUGCUGUUGGAAGCAGUUUGCAGCAAGCUCUCGAAUCUGCCUGGUGAUUGGGGUGACCUCGAACAUGGCCUGGAACCCCGGGUACCUGAGUUUUCCGGGGUCUAACAUUUGGGGGCUCGUCCGGGAUUUUAGACCACCCUUCACCUGACUGGAUUCGAUCUUGGAGUGGGGUGAAUGGAAGGCAAGGGAAGUCCUGCCCACACCAUCUCAGUCUGCACAGGAGAAAUGCAUUCUGGCCUUUGCUUGCCACACCAGCUGUACACCAGCCAACUCAUCUACCAUAAGCAGCUGAGGCUGUGGGAGAUUCAGAGAAGUUCCCAGGGGACAGAUGGAUGGCCUGAUGGGAAGAGGAUUUGACAUGCAGAUAAGUGGGAAAGGAAGGAGGCCCAGGAGAUGCAGAUUGGAAAGUUAAUGGGCUGUAUUUCAUGGAAGUCUUCUGUGCAUGAUCACAGUUGUUCUGUUCAAGAGGGCAAUGGCUUUGCCCAACUAAAAGACAACAGCUACAUCAAUAAAGGACCAAAAAUUCAAAUUAAUAAAAGUUUAAAAACUUAGGGAACCUCUAAUGAUAAAGGAAAAUUUAAUGCCUUAAGUCAGGAGUGCCAUGAAUGGCUCCUGAUCCCCUGCUCUCAGAGAAGGAGAGAUAACUGUCUACCACUCUUGUCAACAUUUCUUUGCUAAUUGCUGGUCAUAAAGAUCCCCCAGCCCUGGGGAUAACUGACAGACCCAGUGACUCUGUAACCCUGUAAGCCCAUGCCCUGUCUUAUCUCAGUCAAAUGUAUCUCCCUUAAAAUGUAUAGUUACUAACUAACUCUGUACUUUGUAUGACCUUAAGUAACUAUGGGAACUCUGUAAUUUAAGGCCUCCAACCUUAUGGUCUGCCCUUUUUAAAAGCUUCUCUUUUGGCUGGGUGGUAUCUCAUUUGCCCGCUACGAAAUGAGAUCCUGAAGGACCCCAGCCUAAGAUGUUUUCUCUGCACAUACGUGAGAACCUGAAUUUAUGGCUUUAAUGGAAAGAGCCAUUAAGGUUGAAGAAUUCCACCCUAACAAGUGGUUCCCAGAGAUAGAGAUGUAACUACCCUGAAGGAUCCAUGAGCCUGGAGAUUGCGCUCAGAGAUUGCGGUUGGCCACCUGGAACGAGCCAAUCAGAACUGUUACCCUCACUCACCCCAGACCCCAUCUGUUUGCAGUUUUUGCCUUUAAGAAGCCCUUAGACCACAGCUCUGGGUCCAGCUCCUCUGACCCUGUGUAAGUUACAUGCUGGGCCCCACUCGUGGUGCGCGUCGGUUGCUGAAUAAUAAAGCCUCUCGCUGUUUGCAUCAAGUUCUCUCCUCCUCCUGGUGACUGGGGUCACCACUCCCAGAUGGUCACCUCAGGGUCUCACCCUAUGGGGGGGUCUUUCAAUCACACAUAGCUUUGUGGAGACUGUGACUCUGAAAACUGGGACAGGUUCACCCUUGAUUUAGAGCUUGAGGCAGAGAAGCCACAGACCCAUUGCUAGUUUAAAAAAACCAGUAUGUUUUACUGUUUGUCAGUUGGGGGCAGACUCUGUCACAGACUGGUGUUUGUGAGGCUGCAGUUGGGACCAGAUGAUCAGCUCCAGGUCCAUUCCUGAGUGGUGGAGUGUGGAUGAGGGAAAGUCUAGCUAUAGAUGUUAAAGGAAAGAUGGAGACAUAUGAUAGUGUGAAGAGGGCAGAUUCAGUCCAUACUGAAUGUGCUUCAGUUUACUCAUACACCAUCUUAAGUAAUCAACCAAAGGUGGGGACAAUGGCAGAAGACUUUUAUUAUCAUGUAUAAAGGGCAAAUAACAAUUACUUCCCUUAAUCCUAAAGACGCUAAUAGCUGCAUGUACUACUUGGCCUUCAGGAACUUCAUAGCUGCAUGUAUCUCCUGGCCUCAGGGUGAGAAUAAACCCCACUGUCCCCAAGUCUAUUGUUAUUUAGAUAGGAGCCAUUCACCACGGAGGCCAGGGCAUCCAGCAGCUAUUAAGCUAAUAUCUGAAGGACAAUAGGAGUGAUUUGAACUCUCUGAACUCCUGGCAAGAUGGAAUGGACUUACAUAUAAGGUCUGGUCCGGACAAAACUCCCAGGUGAGUGAUCUGAUUGCUCCUGAACAGUUCAUGACUUGAAUUGAUCAGAAGACACCCACAAGCUCACCUGGUGCCUCUAGCUCCAGGCUGACUGAAAACCCACAGGCCUUGAGGCAAUGGGCAGGCAGGCACCAUUACAAUGAACAACUAUACAGUGAAGAAGAGAGAGAAAGAGAAGUGGAGUGGUUCACAUGCUGUGGAGACAGCCAGAUCUGAAGAAGUGAAAGCAGUGAGGAAGAGGCUGAUCUGAGGGGCCUGUGCUGCUACCCAGGGCCACGGUGAUGUCUGGGCCGAGGCUGGGUCAGUGGCCCUAUCACAGCUAGAUCUGUGUGGAUGGCUGUGGCUCAUAACUUCUGUUACCAUUGAUGACCAUGCAGAUGUCCAGGGUCUGCCCGCUACCUGGGGCCAUGUUGGUGUUCAAGAGCCAUGCUACUACUGUGCCAUGUUCAUCUGAGUGACCUGCACUGCCACUUGGGGCCAUGGUGACUUUCCAGUGCAGGCUGCUGCCAAGGACCAAUAUCUGGGUUCAUGAUCCUAUUGCAGCCAGGGCCUGUGUGGAUGGGCAUGGCCCAUGUUGCCACCAAAGGCCACACAGAUGCCUGGGUCUGGACUGCCACCUCAUACCAUGUUGGUGUCUGAGGGCCAUACAACUGCCAAGGUCAUGCAGAUCUGGGUGGUGUUUGCUGCAACCCAGGGUCAUGCUGACGUCAGGGCCUGGGCUGCUGCCAAGGGUCAUGUCUGGGUCUGUAGCACUACAGCAGCCAGGGUGUGUGUUGAUGUCCAUGACUCCUAUUACUACCAAAGGCCAUACAGGUGCCCAGGAUCUGUACUGACACCUGAGACCAUGUUAGUGUCUGAGAGCCAUGCUGCUACUGGGGUCAUACUGAUCUGAGUGGCCUGUGAUGCCUCCUAGGACUAUGGUAAUAUCCAGGCUCAACCUGCUGCCAAGGGCUGUGGUCUAGCUGCAGCUGGGGUCUGUGUUGAUGUUCAUGGCCCAUGUUACCACCAGGGACCAUGCAAACCAGGCAUGUUGAAAACUAAGGGUUGUGCUGAGCUGGCCCCUGCCCCUCAAUGGCCCUCUGAGAUCUGGUCCUGCCCCCUGCCCCCCAUUCGCCCCCCCACACACCUUGCUGCUGAGGGGACCAGCCCCCUGUUAGCAGCCAUGACAGGCUAACAUGUGCUCUCCUGACCUUACCCCUCCUGUCCUACUCACUAGGAGGUCAGAUACCCUUGUGGUAAGGAACCAAUCAGAAGUUAACUGGCAGGGCGGUGCUUUACAGCUCUGGGUGUGCUUUACAUGUAAGUGUACAACAGUGAUGUGCAGAGCAUAGCAACUACCCUGGGAGGGCCUAUAGGGCAUAGCAACCAGUUGACCAAUCGAUACAGGACAGGUUGCCCAAAGCCUGGAAGCACACCAAUCCUGAGACUGUUUCAUAACACUGCCCCUCCCAUGCCUCGUGGUUUCUUGGGGGUCCUUCUCCAGUCACCAGCCAUGAUGAACGGAUGAAGGCCCCAAGCUUCAUUAAACAAUAAUAAAAGACUCUUUGCUUUUGCAUUGAAAUGGAUGAUUUAGGGGUUUCAGAAUUUGGGCACAACACUGCUAUAGUUGAAGAGCUAUCCCCACCAUCACCGCAGAUGCAGGAGAGCUGCCUCUGCCCCUCAUCUGAGGGGAGGGUCCCAAAGGAACGGACUGACCAACUCAGCUACUACCCAGACUCACAUCCAGGGCUUUGAGUAGGCCCGCUCCAACAUCUCCCCUAUCUAUGACCUGCUAGAGUGUGAAGUGACUGGUCCUGUGGAAUCAGAGUUGCAGGAUCUUCAUAAUGACGGGACCAGCUCCCCAUUUCAGCAGCCAUGACAGUAACACGUGCUUUUCUGACCUCACCUUGGUCACUAGAGGUUAGGUGCCUGCCUCGUGGCAAGGAACC